GCACAUGAGUGUGAUCUGACUGUGACAUCUGCCACUCCGUUGAUUGCCAACAUUGAUACAGAAUCUGGCUGGCCAAGCAAGUGCCCCUUUUCUUCCUGACUGCUCUAUGUGUAUCCUUCCUGAAACUGCAAGAGAACAACCUUCCCCAUAGAGGAGGACUGUUAUUUGGUCAAGGGUAUACUGGUAGCUGCAUUACCAGGCUAGAACCUCCAAACAUGUUCUCAAGAUGGAGCAAUUCAGGGGCUCAAAUGGACUCUUUAGGAAAUAAAAUUAACCCUGUCAUAUUU
ensembl:misc_RNA 7SK 7SK RNA